GUACUUGUAAGGUAUGGGAGAAUUGAUUUUCAGAAAUUUAGCUGCGCAUUCAUUUAUGAUUUAACCAACCAAUUAGUUUUCAAAAACAAUACUAAUUCUGUGUUAAUAACAUGUUGAUUCUUUUUCUUAAUCAGAAACCAUUUGCUUUUUAAAGAUGGGCUAUAUGCUGUGAUUAAAACAUAAAAGCAACAGUGCUGGUCAUCUGUGGGUGUGUGUUCAUGCUUGCAUGUUCUAAACAUGUACAUCAACACUUUGAAUGUUUGGUAAAGAGAAAAAGGGGGAAAGAAAAGAAAGGAAAUGAAGAUAGAUGCAAACAAAAGCCACAUGGAGAAUCCAUUGUGGUAAGUAUACAAAUUCUUGAUAUUAUUUCUCUAAUUAAAAAUAUUCCAUACAUUAAGACACAGGAAAAAAGUCACACGCUUUCUUCCCUUAAAGAAAUGUUUUCUUAAAGAUCUCACAUGGAAAUUCAAAUACAGUAAGGAGACAAACUCUUGGUAUUAUCUCUAUAGUUAAAAUUAUAAUAUGCACAGAAAAAGCCACAAUCUUUUCCCCUUAGUUUUAAAUAAAUAUUAUCUUAAAAAUCUCAUAUGGUAAUAUGGCAUUCUCAGUUGAGAUCUAGAGAACUUAGGUUAUGAAACCACUUGAUUUAUCCUAUUUCCUUUAAUAAUUGGGGUUUCUUUUUUCUUCUGCAGAAAUUUAGUCAUGAACUCAUGAUAUUGGAACAAAGAAAUUUAAUGAAG
rnacentral:lncRNA from 1 species